GUCAGUACAUCACGUGGUACUGCACUAGAAAUGAACUAGCUCUUCACAUGCAAAUGCAGGUCAUUAUAAUUUAAUGAUAGAGUAUUCAUAAAAACAUGAGACAUCAUUUGAACUCUCAGGGGAAUGGUUUGCUAAGUACUGGAUAGACUCGACCUGAAAAUAAACCUAAACCUGAAAAUAAAGGAUCCUCGUACUUAUGUCAACUGUCAUACACAGUCAACCCCUGGAUACAGACAGACAGUCAACCCCUGGAUACAGAUUAACAGUCAGCCCCUGGAUACAGAUUAACAGUCAACCCCUGGAUACAGAUUAACAGUCAGCCCCUGGAUACAGAUUAACAGUAAACCCCUGGAUACAGAUUAACAGUCAACCCCUGGAUACAGACAGACAGUCAACCCCUGGAUACAGAUAGACAGUCAACCCCUGGAUACAGGUUAACAGUCAACCCCAGGAUACAGAUUAACAGUCAACCCCUGGAUACAGACAGACAGAUUAACAGUCAACCCCUGGAUACAGACAGACAGUCAACCCCUGGAUACAGAUUAACAGUCAACCCCUGGAUACAUACAGACAGUCAACCCCUGGAUACAGAUUAACAGUCAAUCCCUGGAUACAGAUUAACAGUCAACCCCUGGAUACAGAUUAACAGUCAGCCCCUGGAUACAGAUUAACAGUCAACCCCUGGAUACAGAUUAACAGUCAGCCCCUGGAUACAGAUUAACAGUCAACCCCUGGAUACAGACAGACAGUCAACCCCUUAAUACAGACAGACAGUCAACCCCUUAAUACAGACAGUCAACCCCUGGAUACAGGUUAACAGUCAACCCCUGGAUACAGACAGACAGACAACCCCUGGAUACAGACAGACAGACAGUCAACCCCUGGAUACAGAUUAACAGUCAGCCCCUGGAUACAGAUUAACAGUCAACCCCUGGAUACAGAUUAACAGUCAACCCCUGGAUACAGAUUAACAGUCAACCCCUGGAUACAGAUUAACAGUCAACCCCUGGAUACAGAUUAACAGUCAACCCCUGGAUACAGACAGACAGUCAACCCCUGGAUACAGACAGACAGUCAACCCCUGGAUACAGAUUAACAGAAUGAAAUCAAACACUACAUGCAGACACACAUCCUUUAUUAGGUUCCGUCAUCAUUUAAUAUAUUAGACCAACAUGGUGGGGGGGAGAAGAAGAACACAUCACUUCUGAAGGUUAUUAUUAUUCAUUCAUGACUAAUAUUAUUUAUACAUGUGUAAUAUAAUAUAGAUAACCAACAAUUUGACUCCCUUUCAAAGCGGGAGAGAUUGACAUCAGAUAAAUGUAAAAAAAAAAAUGAAAAUAAUAUUUUAUCAUGAUAAUAAUAAUAAUUAAAAAACAAAAAGGAUAGCAUAUAGGCUUUUCUAGAACAGCAAGCCUCCAUCAUCAGGUCUGAGGUGAUAAACUAGCUCUCUCUCCCCUUCCUUCCUAGCCAAUAGAAACCUGAGGAGGGAGUCCUAUGCAUCCCCGUACAAAGAACAUGGUGAAACCCCCUUGAAGCCCACGCCUGCACCUAUCCAAUACUUUUACAUUUGUGACGGAGUGUACACGUCAGGAGAAAGGAGAGAUUAUUGGGAUGCGGAUUCGUGUAGGAGAGGGGCUGUUUUGUAUAGUAUGACUCAGGAUGGUGGCGAAGCCAAAACUGAUCUGUGAUCGCUUAGUUUUGCCUGGUGCUGCACUGAUCUGUGAUCGCUUAGCUUUGCCUGCCUGUAAGUAAAGUGCAGUGGUCAACAGACUGCUCUGUCUGUGGUCAUUUAAAGGAGCAUGGAGUGUGUCUGUGGUCUGGAAACAUCCCAAAAGGCACCCUAUUCCCUAUUUAGUGCACUACUUUUGACUAGAGCCCUAAAGUAAUCCACUACAUAUUGGAUAGGGUGCCAUUUGGGAUGUAGACUUUAACAGUAUUGUGUGAGGAGGAGGAGUGGUGGGUUCAAAACACAUGGAUGUGGAGUGACUACCAGAUAAAGAGGUAGAUCCAGGGUAUGGAUCCAGGGUAUAGAUCCAGGGUAUGGUCUAUGGU
rnacentral:lncRNA from 1 species